GACGAACGCUGGCGGCGUGCCUAACACAUGCAAGUCGAACGGGGUUGAGUGCUUCGGUAUUCAACCUAGUGGCGAACGGGUGAGUAACGCGUGAAGAACCUGCCUUUCAGUGGGGGACAACAGUUGGAAACGACUGCUAAUACCGCAUGACACUGAUGAGGGGCAUCCCUUAUCAGUCAAAGCUUAAUGUGCUGAAAGAUGGCUUCGCGUCUGAUUAGCUAGAUGGCGGGGUAACGGCCCACCAUGGCGACGAUCAGUAGCCGGUCUGAGAGGAUGAACGGCCACAUUGGGACUGAGAUACGGCCCAGACUCCUACGGGAGGCAGCAGUGGGGAAUAUUGGGCAAUGGGGGAAACCCUGACCCAGCAACGCCGCGUGAAGGAAGAAGGCCUCGGUUGUAAAGCUCUGUCUUCAGGGACGAUAAUAGACGGUACCUGAGGAGGAAGCCACGGCUAACUACGUG
rnacentral:rRNA from 1 species